UGAUUUGCCUCCCACUAAACAAGUACUC
rnacentral:piRNA from 1 species